AACAUGACUCUCGGCAACGGAUAUCUCGGCUCUCGCAUCGAUGAAGAACGUAGCAAAAUGCGAUACCUGGUGUGAAUUGCAGAAUCCCGUGAACCAUCGAGUUUUUGAACGCAAGUUGCGCCCGAGGCCUUCUGGCCGAGGGCACGUCUGCCUGGGCGUCACGC
rnacentral:rRNA from 1 species